rnacentral:rRNA from 1 species
AUGGCGGCGGCGCGGUGGCAGCAGCAGGGGGAGGCGCAGAAGCUGCGGUGCACCAAGGAGCCGUACGUGGAUGACGACGGCACUCACAGGAUAAAGAGCAUGCGGUUCAGCACCUUGUCCGGCGGCGAGGUCCGCAAGUCCGCGGAGGCGCAGGUCUAUAACGGCUGGAUCUACGACGAGAACCGCAAGCCCGCUCCCGGCGGUUUGCUCGACACGCGGAUGGGAGCUGCAAACAAGUUUGGGGAGUGCACAACUUGCCACGGUUCAUACACCGAGUGCCCGGGCCAUUUCGGUUACAUCAAGCUCGCGCUUCCGGUUUUCAAUGUCGGAUUCUUCAACAGUACCGUCAAUGUGUUGAAGUGCAUCUGCAAGCGCUGCAGCAGGGUUCUUCUUUCGGAGAAAGACCGCCAAGAGUUUUUGAAGAGGAUGAGGAAUCUGAGAGCAGAAGUACUGCACAAAAGCGUCAUCCUGAGUAAAGUUAGGGACAAAUGCAGGCCAUGCCGUUGCCACUGGUGUGGAUACAUGAAUGGUGUAACUAAGAAGGGGCCAAAGGACAGAGGAGGCUUGGCAAUUGUUCAUGACUGUAGCAAAACUUUGGACAGAACUACAGAAGAACUUCGGUCUGCUUUAUCACACAAGAAAGAAAAACUAUCCUUUCCUUCUGUUCACCUGUUAGACCCUCAAACCGUCCUCGCUCUUUUCACAAGAAUGACUGAUGAGGACUGUGAACUGCUGAACCUUGGUGACAGACCCGAGAAACUUAUCAUUACAGAGAUUGCAGUGCCACCUGUGCCCAUCCGUCCUUCUGUUUUUGUUGGUGGUAAUAAAAUGAGCAAUGAACAUAGUAUUACUUGCAUAUUGAAGAAUAUUGUUACUGCAAAUCACAUAAUUAAAGAGGCCCUUAAAAAAGGCGAAUCACCCGUGAAUUGCUUUAAUUCCUGGCAAGACCUUCAACUCCAAGUUAUUGAAUAUAUCAACAGUGAUGCCCCCUCUCUUUCUGAUUCACAACAUCGUGGCCUUAUGCAAAGACUCAAAGGGAAGACAGGUCGAUUUCGUGGGAACUUGUCUGGGAAACGUACUGAGUACACUGGGAGGACUGUCAUAUCUCCUGACCCAAAUUUGAGAAUAACAGAGGUGGCUAUUCCUGUUUUGAUGGCUCGAGUCUUGACUUAUCCUGAACGAGUUUCAUAUCAUAACAUAGAGAAGCUGCGCCAAUGUAUACAAAAUGGACCAAAUAAACAUCCAGGGGCAAAUUUUAUAAUACAAUCUGAUGGAACAAAGCUGCACUUAAAGUAUGCUGAUAGAAGGAUCGCCGCACGGGAUUUGAAGUAUGGCUGUAUAGUCGAAAGGCAUUUAGAAGAUGGGGACAUUGUCCUCUUCAACAGACAACCAAGCUUGCAUAGAAUGUCAAUUAUGUCACACAGGGCAAGGAUAAUGCCCUGGAGAACAUUAAGAUUUAAUGAGUCUGUUUGUAACCCUUAUAAUGCUGAUUUUGAUGGAGAUGAGAUGAAUUUGCAUGUCCCACAGACAGAGGAAGCUCGUACUGAAGCAUUGAUGCUUAUGGGGGUUCAGAAUAAUCUAUGUACCCCUAAGAAUGGAGAAAUACUGGUUGCUUCCACACAAGACUUUUUGACCUCGUCUUUUCUAGUCACAAGGAAAGAUACCUUCUAUGACAGGUCUUAUUUUACUCUCUUGUGUUCAUAUCUUGGUGAUGCAAUGGAAUAUAUUGAUCUCCCAACACCAGCCUUAAUUAAGCCUAUUGAGCUUUGGACGGGCAAGCAGUUAUUCAGUGUGUUAGUACGUCCUAACGCGUGUACAAAGGUGUUUCUGAAUCUUACCGUUGAAGAGAAAAUUUACAUGAAACUUAAAGAACGUGACAAAAAGGCGAUUACAGUUUUGGAAGAGACAAUGUGUCCGAAUGAUGGUUUUGUCUACUUCCGAAACAGUGAGCUUUUAUGUGGGCAAGUUGGCAAGAAAACUUUGGGCAAUGGGAAUAACGAGGGCAUGUUCUCUGUUCUUAUAAGAGAUUAUAAUUCUCAUGCUGCAGCGAGUUGUAUGAAUCGUUUGGCAAAGUUUAGGUGA